CCCUUAGAUGUUCUGGGCCGCACGCGCGCUACACUGAUUCAUGCAACAAGUUUUGUCCUUGGCUGAUAGGCCUGGGUAAUCUUUGAACGUGAAUCGUGAUGGGGAUAGAUGAUUGCAAUUAUUCAUCUUCAACGAGGAAUUCCUAGUAAACGCAAGUCAUCAGCUUGCAUUGAUUACGUCCCUGCCCUUUGUACACACCGCCCGUCGCACCUACCGAUUGAAUGGUCCGGUGAAAUCUUCGGAUCUGAGAGAUGUCUGAUUAAUUUCGGACGCUUUUUGGAAAAGUUGUUUAAACCUUACCAUUUAGAGGAAGGUGAAGUCGUAACA
rnacentral:rRNA from 1 species